rnacentral:rRNA from 1 species
AUUGAACGCUGGCGGCACGCCUAACACAUGCAAGUCGAGCGGCAGCGAGACUAGUAGCAAUACUAGUUGUCGGCGAGCGGCGGACGGGUGAGUAACACGUAGGAAUCUGCCCUUAAGCGGGGGAUAACCAAGGGAAACUUUGGCUAAUACCGCAUAAUCUCGAGAGAGCAAAGCUGCCCGCAAGGGUGGCACUUGAGGAGGAGCCUGCGUCCGAUUAGCUAGUUGGUGGGGUAAUGGCCUACCAAGGCGAUGAUCGGUAACUGGUCUGAGAGGACGACCAGUCACACUGGGACUGAGACACGGCCCAGACUCCUACAGGAGGCAGCAGUGGGGAAUAUUGGACAAUGGGGGCAACCCUGAUCCAGCGAUGCCGCGUGAGUGAAGAAGGCCUUCGGGUCGUAAAGCUCUUUAGGUUGGGAAGAAGUGUAUUGGCUGAAUAAUCCAGUACAUUGACGGUACCGACAGAAUAAGCACCGGCAAUCUCUGUGCCAGCAGCCGCCGUAAUAC